rnacentral:rRNA from 1 species
UGCAUAUCAAUAAGCGGAGGAAAAGAAACCAACAGGGAUUGCCCUAGUAACGGCGAGUGAAGCGGCAACAGCUCAAAUUUGAAAUCUGGCUCUUUCAGAGUCCGAGUUGUAAUUUGCAGAGGGCGCUUUGGCUUUGGCAGCGGUCCAAGUUCCUUGGAACAGGACGUCACAGAGGGUGAGAAUCCCGUACGUGGUCGCUAGCUAUUGCCGUGUAAAGCCCCUUCGACGAGUCGAGUUGUUUGGGAAUGCAGCUCUAAAUGGGAGGUAAAUUUCUUCUAAAGCUAAAUAUUGGCCAGAGACCGAUAGCGCACAAGUAGAGUGAUCGAAAGAUGAAAAGCACUUUGGAAAGAGAGUCAAACAGCACGUGAAAUUGUUGAAAGGGAAGCGCUUGCAGCCAGACUUGCUUGCAGUUGCUCAUCCGGGCUUUUGCCCGGUGCACUCUUCUGUAGGCAGGCCAGCAUCAGUUUGGGCGGUGGGAUAAAGGUCUCUGACACGUUCCUUCCUUCGGGUUGGCCAUAUAGGGGAGACGACAUACCACCAGCCUGGACUGAGGUCCGCGCAUCUGCUAGGAUGCUGGCGUAAUGGCUGUAAGCGGCCCGUCUUGAACACGGACCA